GUGUUGACACUGUUUUCGAUGAUCACAAAUGAAGCUGCUGCAGGUUUUUAUCUCUUGCAGAUAAAGCUCAUGACUGCAAUGGCUGAGUUAUAGCUACAUUCUUAGUUCUACAAGAAGGAAGCUUCCGACUUGUUUUCUACAGCCUUGACAACAUUUAGAAUUGUCAGUAUUUUUUAUUUUACGGUAUUAGCUCAGUGUGGGUUUUUUGUUUGUUUGUUUGUUUUGUGUUUUGAGACAGGGUUUCUCUGUGUAGACUGGCCUCAAACUCAAAUUCACCUACCUCUGAGUGCUGAUAUUAAAGGCAUGUUCCACCACCAUCAGGAGUUCACCGUAUGUUUUUUUUGUUUGUUUGUUUUUAAGAUUUAUUUGUUAUAUAUGAGUACAUUGUAGCUGUCUUCAGACACACCAGAAGAGGGCAUCAGAUCCCAUUGCAGAUAGUUGUGAGCCACCAUGUGGUUGCUGGGAUUUGAACUCAGGACCUCUGGAGGAGCAGUCAGUGUUCUUAACCGCUGAGCCAUCUCUCCAGCCUGCUCACUGUGGUUUUACGUCAAAUGUUUCUGGUGGCUAAUGAAGUUUGUCAUUAAGCCUUAUUUGCCACCCGUGUUUUUUUUCUCUUUUGCUCAUAUCCUUAACUGGAUUUUAAAAACACCAUGUAGUAGUCCUUUUUUAGAUCUGCGGUUUGCAAAUAUUUUCUUGCAAUCGCUGUGUAGAAAAACCUCUUGAUAGAAACCGCAUUAACCCUACAGGCCAAGUCAGAUAAAACUAAUAUUAGCUAGCAUGCUGAGUCUUUCAUUAUGGGAAUAAGGUAUACUUGUCCAUUUCUCUCGUUGAUUUAUUUCAUAAGUGUUGUUCAAUUUUAGCAUAUUAAUGCCAUACCUGUUUACAGCUAAAUAUUUUAUAUAGUUCAUUUGUUUGUUUGUUUUUGUUUUUCGAGACAGUGUUUCUCUAUGUAGCCCUGGUUGUCCUGGGACUCACUCUGUAGCCGGGGCCUGGCCUCAAACUCACAGAGAUCCGCCUGCCUCUGCCUCCCAAGUGCUGGGAUUAAAGGCAUAUGCCACCAGAGUCCGGCUGCUGAGUAUUUUUUUGACCGUACUGAGAUCGUGAAUGUACUAUGUUUCAUUUUGAUUUCCACAUCCCCCACAUUGGUAUCGUGUUUAGGAAGGCAGCUGUUGAUUACGUACUGACCUUAUACUUGAUAACUUUGUGGAACUCACCUAUAUAGCACAAGCACCCUAAGAGAGUGUGGAUGGAGGUGGAUCAAAGAUUUAGAGAUGUGGCAAUACAGGAGGUAACCGUGGUGAUGGCUCCUUUUGGUGAUCGGCUUAGAUACUACCUAAACCAGAAGCUGGUGACAGGCAUGUUCCCACCUAAAGCGAGGGUCCUGAACAGUGAAGCCUGACCUGUCCUCUCAGUCUCCCAGGUAGAAUGUCAGGACAUCAAAGUCCCAGCCCAGAGCAGCUCCAGGCCAUAGGAGGAGGGCAAAGGCGGGUAGGUCUUGCCCUCAAAGAGGGCAAGGAUCACAGGCUUUAUGGUUCUCAGAGUGGGUCUGCCCCUUUCAGGCCACCACCAGGUUUUGCUCAUUUUCUCCUUACUGGACAGGGCUUCACCUACAAAUGGGAGAAUCCGUCUGACAUGUACACAGCCCCACUAAGAACACGCCAAAGGCUGGAACCACACAAUAAGCUUGUUCAGACCUGUGUGGCUGACAGGUGAUACCAUCCAAUGUUGAAGAAAAACAGCAGGAACACCGGGAGGUAGAGGCCAGGCUAGGCUAUGCCACUGAGACUUCUACUCAAAACUCAAAUCCCUAAGCCCAAGGAAUGAACAAAAAGGAAUAGUAAUCCUGAGGGCUAGACCAUCGUGAGAAGGGGGAAGCCUCCUCACUGAGAGAAAGUCGCCUCCUGCUUGCCCCUGCUUGGCCAGUCCUCCUAUUGCUUCACAGCGCGGCUUUCUCGGUCCUACCAGCUCUUCACUCACUCACACGAGUCUGAAUAGGGUUUUUGACACUCUGGUCUUCUCUUUAACAAGUCGGACUAAACGCAGUGGCGAGUGUCAGAUGACUCUUGUCAACUGCUUUAAGCCAGAGUCGGGUGACUCAUGGGCAAAUUAAAGAGUCUUAAGUGAGGUCAGGAGCUGCCUACUCUGGAAGCUGUCUACUCAGGAAGCUGUGGACUUGAAGGCAGGGAUGGUGUAACUAGGCUCAGCCUUUCCUCGCCCUUCACCCCGCCUUUCUCCUCUAGGAGGAGUCUAGUGACAGGCCUGGAUUGGAGGCUUUUGGAACUGUUCCCUGUCUCCUCCUCCAGGUUGGCCUCAGGCCUUUCGUGAACCUCAAGAAUUUGGAAGACCUUUAAGGAAAAGCAAACUUUGCUGAAGUAGAGACCCAUUUCCCGCACCUACCACCGCGGACGUGUUCAUGGUACAGGCCAUACACACUUGUAUCCAAAUUACCUCUUAAAAGGAAAUUUUUGCCCUCCGGUUUUCAACUCGGCUUCUGUCUGUGGGUAAUCCUGGUUUCCUUUCACCAAACUUGUCCUUCGGGGCGGAGACUAACCAGAUCAUUCCGCCCCGCCCUGCUCCUGGGACAGCCUACCCACCGCUGCAGCGCUUUGCAGUGUAAUGCAAGUGGGCGGCCCGCAGACACUGGGAUGGCCCGGACUAUGGACCGACUGGAAGCCUGCAACAGCCCGGGAACAUCUGGGACCCCCGGAGACGCGUUGCCUGGUCCCCGUGUAUAUGCGCGCCGCUGGGUCUUUCUGCUGGUGGUUAGCCUCCUGAGCUGCUCCAACGCGAUGCUCUGGCUCACCUUCGCGCCCGUAGCAGACACCAUAGCGCAGCACUUCUCCCUGUCCAUGGACCAGAUCAACUGGCUGUCACUAAUAUACCUUGUGUUAUCCAUCCCAUUUGGCAUGGCAGCCAUAUGGGUUCUGGACUCUGUUGGCCUCCGUGGAGCGACUAUCCUGGGUGCAUGGCUGAAUUUUUCUGGGAGUUUGCUACGUGCUGUGCCGUGCUUGGCUGUCAGGAUCCCCAGUCCCUUUGCCUUCUUCAUGAGUGGCCAGAGCCUCUGUGCUCUGGCCCAGACCCUGGUCAUCUCUUCUCCAGCCAAGCUGGCUGCCUUGUGGUUUCCAGAGCACCAACGAGCCACAGCUAACAUGAUCGGCACCAUGUCAAAUCCUCUGGGCAUCCUAAUAGCAAAUGUGCUGUCUCCUGCCCUCGUCAAGAAAGCAGAAGACAUCCCUAUGAUGCUUGGCAUCUACAUCGUUCCUGCUGCCCUUGCCUGUCUGUUGGCCACUGUCUGCCUCUGGGAGAGUGUGCCUCCUACCCCACCGUCCGCAGGGGCUGCCAGCUCUACUUCAGAGAGUUUCCUCCACGGGCUCAAACUGCUCAUGAAGAAUAAGGCCUAUGUCAUCCUGGCCGUAUGCUUCGGUGGUGGCAUCGGUGUCUUCUCCAGCUUCUCAGCCCUCCUGGAACAGAUCUUUUGUGCCAACGGCUACUCUAAUGAGUUCUCAGGCCUCUGUGGGGCUCUCUUCAUCGUGUUUGGAAUUUUGGGGGCACUGCUUCUAGGCCUGUAUGUGGACCGGACCAAGCACUUCACCGAAGCCACCAAGAUAGGCCUCUGUUUGACUUCCCUGACCUUCGUGGCCUUCGCUCUGGUAUCCCAGCUGCAGGGACAGACCUUUGCACUGGCUGCCAUCUGCUCUCUCCUUGGGCUCUUUGGCUUCUCGGUGGCACCUGUGGUCAUGGAGCUGGCAGUUGAGUGUUCGUUUCCUGUGGGUGAGGGUGCCUCUGCUGGCUUGAUCUUUGUCCUGGGGCCGAGGGCGUGCUCAUCAUGCUGCUAUUGACGGCAGUGACUGUGCGGCGAACAGGCCCAUCCUUCUCUACCUGCCGGCAGGGUGAGGACCCUCUGGACUGGACAGUGUCCCUGCUGCUGCUGGCUGGCCUAUGUACCCUUUUCACCUGUGUCUUGGUGAUCUUCUUCAACACACCAUACCGGCGCCUGGAGGCUGAGUCUGGAGGAUCCUCUUCACCCAUGAUGUGUGCCGGGGAUCCAAGAA